GAUGAACGCUGGCGGCGUGCCUAAUACAUGCAAGUCGAGCGAACGGACGAGAAGCUUGCUUCUCUGAUGUUAGCGGCGGACGGGUGAGUAACACGUGGAUAACCUACCUAUAAGACUGGGAUAACUUCGGGAAACCGGAGCUAAUACCGGAUAAUAUUUUGAACCGCAUGGUUCAAAAGUGAAAGACGGUCUUGCUGUCACUUAUAGAUGGAUCCGCGCUGCAUUAGCUAGUUGGUAAGGUAACGGCUUACCAAGGCAACGAUGCAUAGCCGACCUGAGAGGGUGAUCGGCCACACUGGAACUGAGACACGGUCCAGACUCCUACGGGAGGCAGCAGUAGGGAAUCUUCGGCAAUGGGCGAAAGCCUGACGGAGCAACGCCGCGUGAGUGAAGAAGGUCUUCGGAUCGUAAAACACUGUUAUUAGGGAAGAACAUAUGUGUAAGUAACUGUGCACAUCUUGACGGUACCUAAACAGAAAGCAACGGCUAACUACGUG
rnacentral:rRNA from 1 species